GUUUCAGCAGAGCAGAAGCAGCGCGUUAGCAGCAGGUAGGCAGAGCAGAAGCAGCGCGCGCCUAUUUUGCUUUCACACCGGCAGCGGAGGCAGCGCGCAACUGAACAGCAGAUUUUGGUCAGAGUGCUCUAUAAUGGUACGUGUUGUUGAUAGAAGAAAGGCCAUCGCGCUAUAUUUGUUAUUAAGGAGACUAAAAAGACCCAGACUUUGGGUUCAUCCCAUUAACCGACGUAGGAGAGAACAUGGUGCAUAUUACCAUCUUGUCACUGGGUUUGUUUGCAAUCAAAUUUACCAAAAAACACCCUGAAAACCAAUUUAAUAAACGGUUUUAAAUUAUGUGUAUAGUAAAUGGUUCACAGCCUUGACUUCCUGCUCAUCUUGAAAUCAGCAUUUACUUGUUUAUUAUAUAUGCAUGUAUCACCUGCUUUUGUUAUUUGUGUGCUUAUGUGUAAUUUAGAAAUUGUAAAUAAAUGGUUCCAAUUGAAUCAAUUUUGAAUCAAA